rnacentral:sRNA from 20 species
AGUUGAUGCACACGGUGGCUUUUCCUCCCAGUUCCACCGCAUCAGCUGUUCCCCUCUGGAGGUUUUUGACCUUCACACUUAAAGGGCCCUGGAUUUAUCCGGCGGCCCUCUUUU